GACGAACGCUGGCGGCGUGCUUAACACAUGCAAGUCGAACGGAAAGGCCCCUUUGGGGGUACUCGAGUGGCGAACGGGUGAGUAACACGUGAGUAACCUGCCCUUGACUUCGGGAUAACUUCAGGAAACUGGGGCUAAUACCGGAUAGGAAUCCUUGCUGCAUGGUGGGGGUUGGAAAGCUUCGGCGGUGUUGGAUGGACUCGCGGCUUAUCAGCUUGUUGGUGGGGUAGUGGCUUACCAAGGCUUUGACGGGUAGCCGGCCUGAGAGGGCGACCGGCCACAUUGGGACUGAGAUACGGCCCAGACUCCGACGGGAGGCAGCAGUGGGGAAUAUUGCACAAUGGGCGGAAGCCUGAUGCAGCAACGCCGCGUGCGGGAUGACGGCCUUCGGGUUGUAAACCGCUUUCAGCAGGGGCGAAGCUUGUGGUGACGGUACCUGCAGAAGAAGCACCGGCUAACUACGUG
rnacentral:rRNA from 1 species